rnacentral:lncRNA from 1 species
UAUAAUACCCUUUUAGGACAUAUAACUAGUGUCCACCUUUGUACCAAGAAUUGUUUGUCAUGAUGCAAAACACUUAAUUCCUUUCUUUUUGGCCAAUAUGUAUGCUUUACUCUUAGUUUUAAAUGCCAUUUCCUGUAUGGAUUCCAAUAAUACCUUUAUAUUUGGUCCCAAAUUAUACCUUUCUGUCACUUGUACCAAACUUUUCAUCUCUUUCUACAUGAAUUAUUUUCUCUCUAUCACUC